rnacentral:rRNA from 1 species
UACGUAGGUGGCAAGCGUUGUCCGGAAUUACUGGGCGUAAAGAGCGCGCAGGCGGCUGGUCAAGUCCGAUGUGAAAGCUUCCGGGCUUAACUGGGAAAUUGCAUCGGAAACUGAUCGGGCUUGAAGGUGGGAGAGGGUAGUGGAAUUCCCGGUGUAGUGGUGAAAUGCGUAGAUAUCGGGAGGAACACCAGUGGCGAAGGCGACUACCUGGCCCACUCUUGACGCUGAGGCGGCGAAAAGCUGAGGGGAGACCGAA